rnacentral:lncRNA from 1 species
AGAUAAGAGUGAUUUUAGUGGAAUUCAGCCCUUGAUGGACAUAUCGUCUGUAUUUGCCAUGUCCUGGUGAUGGUAGAGAGCUCUUCCACACCUCGUGCACAUAUCAGAAUCCGCGAGGUAGGCGACGAAUUUAUUCAGGUUUAAAACGACAGGAAGACAGUGUUUUACAUUGUUGAAAGACAAAGAAAAAGAAUCGAUUCCAGAACGUGCCGUCCUGUGUUUGUUGUUUUCGACAGUUGAGGGGAGAGUCCGGUGCAUGCCAGAUACUAUCUAUUGAUUUCAUACACUCUAGUGAGAAAUAUAUGCAGAAAAAAGAACCAAGUAUGAUAAAUCCACGACAGACCUGGCACAAGCAUAUAGCAUGACACCACUACAGCCGCCAUGACAAAAGCAUAGUUAAACAAAUUAGACAUAAGCUAACAUGUAUAUAAUUAUACCCCAACGUACAAAGUAUAUUGGGCUAUGUUGGAGUCACGCAUGUCCAGUC